rnacentral:rRNA from 1 species
GGGUGAGUAACACGUGGAUAACCUACCUAUAAGACUGGGAUAACUUCGGGAAACCGGAGCUAAUACCGGAUAAUAUUUUGAACCGCAUGGUUCAAGAGUGAAAGACGGUCUUGCUGUCACUUAUAGAUGGAUCCGCGCUGCAUUAGCUAGUUGGUAAGGUAACGGCUUACCAAGGCAACGAUGCAUAGCCGACCUGAGAGGGUGAUCGGCCACACUGGAACUGAGACACGGUCCAG